ACGGGUGAGUAACACAUCGGAACGUGCCUAGUAGUGGGGGAUAACUACUCGAAAGAGUAGCUAAUACCGCAUGAGAUCUAAGGAUGAAAGCAGGGGACCUUCGGGCCUUGCGCUACUAGAGCGGCUGAUGGCAGAUUAGGUAGUUGGUGGGAUAAAAGCUUACCAAGCCGACGAUCUGUAGCUGGUCUGAGAGGACGACCAGCCACACUGGGACUGAGACACGGCCCAGACUCCUACGGGAGGCAGCAGUGGGGAAUUUUGGACAAUGGGCGAAAGCCUGAUCCAGCAAUGCCGCGUGUAGGAUGAAGGCCCUCGGGUUGUAAACUACUUUUGUACGGAACGAAAAGCUCUCUUCUAAUAAAGGAGAGUGAUGACGGUACCGUAAGAAUAAGCACCGGCUAACUACGUGCCAGCAGCCGCGGUAAUACGUAGGGUGCAAGCGUUAAUCGGAAUUACUGGGCGUAAAGCGUGCGCAGGCGGUUAUGUAAGACAGAGGUGAAAUCCCCGGGCUCAACCUGGGAACGGCCUUUGUGACUGCAUAGCUAGAGUACGGUAGAGGGGGAUGGAAUUCCGCGUGUAGCAGUG
rnacentral:rRNA from 1 species